GAAAAGGAAAACCGUUUGCUGCUGGGUCGGGGAAAGGAUAAGCACAGGAAUAUAUAGCAAUAGAGAGAGCUUGUGUUGUGUCUGUUUUAUUUUGCCAUGUUUUGUAUGGCCUCCCGUUUGCCGUGGAUUUGUCUGCUCGGAGUUUCAGCUUGGUGUGAGUCUCUCGGAAAGCAAAAUCUUUACAAAAAAAAAAAAUUUGAGAUGGCGUUUUUUUAAAACCACUUUGAAAGCGAUUAAAAGCAACUCAACACUCAUCCAUCAUCAUCUACUUAUCACAAUCUCAACACCCACCACCACAGAACACCUUGUUGGCGAUGGAUCAAUCCCGUGGUUGCUUGUUUACACGAGGGCACAACACAACAGUCGCGAGAUCAUCAUCCGCAUUACGAUCAUCGCGAGAUCAAGAUUAGUGCGCUGCUGGUGUGAGGUGAAUGUGUGUGCGUGUGAGAGUGAGAGGAAGAGAGACCAAAGGGAGAAACGAGCGAACGAUCGAUAGAGGAGCAACGAUGAAGUUGUGAAGGGCUGAAUUCCAGCAGUGCACCGGUUAAGGGCCCUUUGGUUGGGUGCAAAUUGCCUCAAAUACGCACUCAAUUUAGAUGAAAAUAGAUAUGCUCGCGCAGUGAAACCGAUGCGUCGCGAUAGAGGAGAAAACGCGAAGCAGGAAGAAAAUGGAGAAUGCCGCGGUACCAUGGUACUGUGUGCUGCUUGGGAAAUUGUUAGGGUUACGAGCACAGUAGGCAUUGGGUUGGGUUUGCUAGGGAAACAAGGGUGACACAGAAAUUGUUUUUUCACUGGUAAAAUAUUGUAGUUGGUUGUAAAUUACAUGUAAAAAUAACUCUUUUGUACCCACAAAUCGGAAGGCGACAAAUAUCUGCUCAAUAAGUCAUGCAAGGCACGCACGCGAACCUACUUCUUCGAGAGAGGCUUUGGGUCUCAUUCAUCGCUGAAAUCCUGAUGAGAGGUCUUCGUCAUAUCGCUCUAACUUGUUGAGGAUUGUUUGUCAAAAGAUGACCCGCUUUCAAGUACCGGAGUAAUCGGAUCGUGAAGUUAUAAGUCCUGUUGAUAGAACUUCCUUUGACCAAAAGGCCCUAUCAGUUUUGAUAUGAUUGCUCCAUCCAAUCGAACAAUUCUCCCGGAGGCCGCUGAACACACGGUCGUCAAAGUGGAUACCGGUGCACGCUCAACAAACACUGCCCGCCGAGCAGUUACAUUCGAGAACCUUCAACCGGUGGCAAUGAGAGGAUGGAUUCUGGCACGGAUGAGGUAAUGGCAUCCCGAAUGUGCCAUCGCCGUCUUCGGCGAAGGCCGACAACGAUGAUCCACUCACGACGACUGACUCACGUCCCUUUCCACCAGGCGGGACCAGUGUAUGCUUUGCACCACAGGGUCAUAAUUCGACUGCACUAAGAGCUCAGCUCGUCCAUGACCAUGGUGUAAGGAAGCUAGGUCUUGUGGGGGUCCCGUGUGCGACAGGUAGCUAGAAAGCUGCACCAUACAACGUCGUACGCAUCUGGCCGCUAACUCGGCACGGGAAGCAGCUACAAAAUGACAUGUAAAUAAAAUUACAAUAAUUAAUUUUACCCUUUCAGUAGGCAAAUGCGCUCGGCCGUUGGCAUCUUUGAUGAGCUCUGUCAAGGGAAGAAAGAUUCUUCAUCUCGUCGCGGAGAUGUGAGUGAAAAUGUGCGUCUUUUCCAUCCCUUAACUUCCAUAUCUGUCGAGAGUGGAAAAGCUCAUCUAAUUCGCGAAACCCGUUGCAGUUUCGUUGCGUUCCGCCGCACGCUGCCUUCCGUGCCUUAUCUUGUUCGCCAUGUGGUGAAACGCGGCACAGAUAGCGGUCUGUCCGUGUGUUUCGCACAGACUCGGGCAAACUGCAACCAGCCAGCCAGCCAGCCAGCCGGGCCACGUCACGCGCCGUACUAUCGUGUUCUGUUGGCGGCAUUCUUUAUCUGUUUUUGCCCACCGUACACAUCGACGACGACGGCGGCCACAUUCGAGACGUCAUAAUAUACCGUCCAUACUUUGCUGUUGCUGCUGGCGAAGUUCACUUGCUGUCUGUCUCGUUCUCCGCUCGUUUUAUUUUUUUUUGUUGCACGGUUCGUUUGAACGGUUGAAGCUUGGCUGGCCGAGAGUUUGCGCUGGAAAUUGCAACUGCACCGUAGCUUAAAAGCAAUUUACAUCCUCGCCACACGGUGUCGGUGCUCAAUGGUUGUUCUCAGGGACAGGAACAGCCCUUGGAAUGGUAGUUGCAAGGGUUAGGCUUGUACCGUCCACCGCUUCUUCAGUUGCGUGCGAAUGUUAGGAACGUUGAUGGCGGAGGGUGAUGAUGGCGAAGAAUUUACAGUGAUGAACUUGCCUGUAGCUUAUUUGGUCACCUCU